rnacentral:rRNA from 1 species
AUUGAACGCUGGCGGCAUGCUUUACACAUGCAAGUCGAACGGCAGCGCGGGCUUCUGCCUGGCGGCGAGUGGCGAACGGGUGAGUAAUACAUCGGAACGUGCCCAGCAGUGGGGGAUAGCACGGCGAAAGCCGGAUUAAUACCGCAUACGACCUGAGGGUGAAACCGGGGGAUCUUCGGACCUCGCGGUAUUGGAGGGGCCGAGGGCAGAUUAGCUAGUUGGUGGGGUAAAGGCCUACCAAGGCGACGAUCUGUAGCUGGUCUGAGAGGACGACCAGCCACACUGGAACUGAGACACGGCCCAGACUCCUACGGGAGGCAGCAGUGGGGAAUUUUGGACAAUGGGCGAAAGCCUGAUCCAGCAAUGCCGCGUGUGUGAUGAAGGCCUUCGGGUUGUAAAGCACUUUUGGCGGGAACGAAAAGGACUGUGCCAAUACCACGGUUCGAUGACGGUACCCGCAGAAUAAGCACCGGCUAACUACGUG